CCUACGGGUGGCAGCAGUAGGGAAUUUUCGUCAAUGGGCGCAAGCCUGAACGAGCAAUGCCGCGUGAACGAGGAAGGUCUUCGGAUCGUAAAGUUCUGUUGAAGGGGAAAAAGAGCGGAGAGAGGAAAUGGUCUCCGAUUGAUAUUACCCUUCGAGGAAGUCACGGCUAACUACGUGCCAGCAGCCGCGGUAAGACGUAGGUGGCGAGCGUUAUCCGGAAUGAUUGGGCGUAAAGGGUGCGUAGGCGGCCUGCUAAGUCUGGGGUGAAAGGUACCGGCUCAACCGGUACAGGCCCUGGAAACUGGCGGGAUAGAGGGCAGGAGAGGGCGGUGGAACUCCAUGUGUAGCGGUAAAAUGCGUAGAUAUAUGGAAGAACACCAGUGGCGAAGGCGGCCGCCUGGCCUGUUACUGACGCUGAGGCACGAAAGCGUGGGGAGCAAAUAGGAUUAGAUACCCCAGUAGUC
rnacentral:rRNA from 1 species